rnacentral:rRNA from 1 species
UGCAAGUCGAACGGGCUCUUCGGAGCUAGUGGCGGACGGGUGAGUAACGCGUGAGAAUCUGCCUCCAGGUCUGGGACAACAGAAGGAAACUUCUGCUAAUCCCGGAUGAGCCCUUGGGUAAAAGAUAAAUUGCCUGGAGAUGAGCUCGCGUCUGAUUAGCUAGUUGGUGUGAUAAAAGCAUACCAAGGCGACGAUCAGUAGCUGGUCUGAGAGGAUGAGCAGCCACACUGAGACUGAGACACGGCCCAGACUCCUACGGGAGGCAGCAGUGGGGAAUUUUCCGCAAUGGGCGAAAGCCUGACGGAGCAAGACCGCGUGGGGGAGGAAAGCUCUAGGGUUGUAAACCCCUUUUCUUUGGGAAGAAGUACUGACGGUACCAAAGGAAUCAGCCUCGGCUAACUCCGUGCCAGCAGCCGCGGUAAUACGGAGGAGGCAAGCGUUAUCCGGAAUGAUUGGGCGUAAAGCGUCCGCAGGUGGCCAUGUAAGUCUGCUGUCAAAACCCAGGGCUUAACUCUGGUCAGGCAGUGGAAACUACAAAGCUAGAGUUCGGUAGGGGCAAAGGGAAUUCCCGGUGUAGCGGUGAAAUGCGUAGAUAUCGGGAAGAACAUCGGUGGCGAAAGCGCUUUGCUAGACCAAAACUGACACUCAGGGACGAAAGCUAGGGGAGCGAAUGGGAUUAGAUACCCCAGUAGUCCUAGCCGUAAACGAUGGAUACUAGGUGUUGCCUGUAUCGACCCAGGCAGUGCCGUAGCUAACGCGUUAAGUAUCCCGCCUGGGGAGUA